rnacentral:rRNA from 1 species
AUGAACGCUAGCUACAGGCUUAACACAUGCAAGUCGAGGGGCAGCAUGGUCUUAGCUUGCUAAGGCCGAUGGCGACCGGCGCACGGGUGAGUAACACGUAUCCAACCUGCCGUCUACUCUUGGACAGCCUUCUGAAAGGAAGAUUAAUACAAGAUGGCAUCAUGAGUCCGCAUGUUCACAUGAUUAAAGGUAUUCCGGUAGACGAUGGGGAUGCGUUCCAUUAGAUAGUAGGCGGGGUAACGGCCCACCUAGUCUUCGAUGGAUAGGGGUUCUGAGAGGAAGGUCCCCCACAUUGGAACUGAGACACGGUCCAAACUCCUACGGGAGGCAGCAGUGAGGAAUAUUGGUCAAUGGGCGAGAGCCUGAACCAGCCAAGUAGCGUGAAGGAUGACUGCCCUAUGGGUUGUAAACUUCUUUUAUAAAGGAAUAAAGUCGGGUAUGGAUACCCGUUUGCAUGUACUUUAUGAAUAAGGAUCGGCUAACUCCGUGCCAGCAGCCGCGGUAAUACGGAGGAUCCGAGCGUUAUCCGGAUUUAUUGGGUUUAAAGGGAGCGUAGAUGGAUGUUUAAGUCAGUUGUGAAAGUUUGCGGCUCAACCGUAAAAUUGCAGUUGAUACUGGAUAUCUUGAGUGCAGUUGAGGCAGGCGGAAUUCGUGGUGUAGCGGUGAAAUGCUUAGAUAUCACGAAGAACUCCGAUUGCGAAGGCAGCCUGCUAAGCUGCAACUGACAUUGAGGCUCGAAAGUGUGGGUAUCAAACAGGAUUAGAUACCCUGGUAGUCCACACGGUAAACGAUGAAUACUCGCUGUUUGCGAUAUACAGCAAGCGGCCAAGCGAAAGCGUUAAGUAUUCCACCUGGGGAGUACGCCGGCAACGGUGAAACUCAAAGGAAUUGACGGGGGCCCGCACAAGCGGAGGAACAUGUGGUUUAAUUCGAUGAUACGCGAGGAACCUUACCCGGGCUUAAAUUGCAGAUGAAUUACGGUGAAAGCCGUAAGCCGCAAGGCAUCUGUGAAGGUGCUGCAUGGUUGUCGUCAGCUCGUGCCGUGAGGUGUCGGCUUAAGUGCCAUAACGAGCGCAACCCUUGUUGUCAGUUACUAACAGGUUCCGCUGAGGACUCUGACAAGACUGCCAUCGUAAGAUGUGAGGAAGGUGGGGAUGACGUCAAAUCAGCACGGCCCUUACGUCCGGGGCUACACACGUGUUACAAUGGGGGGUACAGAGGGUCGCUACCACGCGAGUGGAUGCCAAUCCCCAAAACCUCUCUCAGUUCGGACUGGAGUCUGCAACCCGACUCCACGAAGCUGGAUUCGCUAGUAAUCGCGCAUCAGCCACGGCGCGGUGAAUACGUUCCCGGGCCUUGUACACACCGCCCGUCAAGCCAUGGGAGCCGGGGGUACCUGAAGUGCGUAACCGCGAGGAGCGCCCUAGGGUAAAACUGGUGACUGGGGCU